GUUCAUAACCCUUUGUUGUCCGACUCUGUUGCCUCCGGGGCGACCCUGCCUUCGGGCGGGGGCUCCGGGUGGACACUUCAAACUCUUGCGUAACUUUGCAGUCUGAGUAAACUUAAUUAAUAAAUUAAAACUUUUAACAACGGAUCUCUUGGUUCUGGCAUCGAUGAAGAACGCAGCGAAAUGCGAUAAGUAAUGUGAAUUGCAGAAUUCAGUGAAUCAUCGAAUCUUUGAACGCACAUUGCGCCCCCUGGUAUUCCGGGGGGCAUGCCUGUUCGAGCGUCAUUUCACCACUCAAGCCUCGCUUGGUAUUGGGCAACGCGGUCCGCCGCGUGCCUCAAAUCGACCGGCUGGGUCUUCUGUCCCCUAAGCGUUGUGGAAACUAUUCGCUAAAGGGUGUUCGGGAGGCUACGCCGUAAAACAACCCCAUUUCUAAGGUUGACCUCGGAUCAGGUAGGGAUACCCGCUGAACUUAAGCAUAUC
rnacentral:rRNA from 1 species